UUUGUGCUUCACUCACUGUUUUUCCCACGUCUCAGGUUUCCAUGUUCCAGGUCUCAGGUGAACCUAACGAGCAGUACUCCCAAAAUAUUCCUUCACAGGCUGGCAGAUGUUUGCUGAACAGUGCAGAUCUGUAGAGUUCAAGAUGUGCCAGCUGACUCACGAGCAUGUGAGUGACUCGUCGUGACAACAUAUCCAUCACUGUGCCCGAGCCAAAAUAAAGCAUGCGAAAUGUAAAUGGUUUCAUUGCACAGGAAACACACACAGUAAUCUCUCUGGUGCUGCAAAGGAGGAGAUGGCAGUGCUCCUUAAUGUCAACUUGUGCGUUUGAAAAGAAGUCCUGAUGAAACAUUUCAGGUUUCAAAUCUAGAAACACAAAAACAACAUCUCUUUGUUCUCGGUCGGCUUGAACACCAGACCCCAUCUGUUCUCCAGGGUGAAUUAUGCCGUCUGUCAUUCA